rnacentral:snRNA from 1 species
AGCUUUGCGCAGUGGCAGUAUCGUAGCCAAUGAGGUUUAUCCGAGGCGCGAUUAUUGCUAAUUGAAAACUUUUUGUUGAUCUAUUUAAAUUUUAUAAUUUUCUUUAGUCAGUUUUGUUUG